CCGGCUCGCGUUAGCCCAUUUCCUGAUUGAUUCUACCACCACUCCAGUGGAGGCGUUAAUGAGGUAAAAAAAAAAUAAAAACAGAAGUGAGUCGGUUCUUUGAUGUAUGGCACUUGUUUCUCCCGGUUCAGCGACACGAGUUGGGUUAAUUAACCGGCUCUUCGGUCAGUUCGUCAACAUUAGUCUAUGUUAGGACAUGA